GAAAUAUGACAGCCCAACACAGAGGACAUCAGUAACGUCUUCAGAGCUAGAUGUGCUAAGAUGGACCUGCAUCUCAAAAAGAAUAAGUGGCCUGGUGCAAAAAGGGAUGAGCAGUGGAGUGGUUACAAGCCUGAGCCUGAGCUCCAGCUCAAGCCUGUGGAUGGGACACUGGCUCUACCUCGACGUUGCCCUGCUGGCUACAAGUAAUGGUACUGGGGCUGAGCUUCCCUGGUUUAUCACAUUUUGGCUCAGCUUACCAGGAAGAAAACGCUCCGUCACGUGCGGUGCUACGUAACGGAGGCGUGCAGUCAAACUGGAGCGGUAAUGAAGAUGAAUUGCACGACCACACUCUGCAU